rnacentral:tRNA from 1 species
GCAGUCGUGGGCUACUGGUUAGGGCUUUGGACUUGGAACCGAAGGGUUUCCGGUUUGAUCCCCGCGCCGCUGUA